GGCUGGCACCGUGCUCCAUUGUGCACAGCAGCUUUAUGAAACUGCUGUGCCUGUUGGUGAGCUCCUGCCCUCUGGGCUGGGAAGAUUGUUCUUCCUGCAAUUAGUAUUCAUGGUCAGCUGAGCAGAACUUAUACAACAGCUCUUCUCUGCUUUGAAGGUUAUGUUACACGGUUUCAAAGUGGCCAGAGGAGAUUCCUAUAUGAAGAAGAUAUCUGGCAAUAUCCAUUGUCUUCUUGUGUAUUUAAUGCUUGCGUUUCAGGUUGUAUUCCAAUGAUCUUUAUUGUCAUGAAGUUUCCAUUUCGAGUGAUGUUUGUCAAGUCAGCUCUGAGCAGGAUUUCCUACAAGAAAGGUUUUACAGUCUCAUUCUCCAGUUGCUCUCAAUCUCUAUUCCAGAAGUAA
rnacentral:lncRNA from 1 species